CCUACGGGUGGCUGCAGUGGGGAAUAUUGCACAAUGGGGGAAACCCUGAUGCAGCGACGCCGCGUGAGUGAAGAAGUAUCUCGGUACGUAAAGCUCUAUCAGCAGGGAAGAAAAUGACGGUACCUGACUAAGAAGCACCGGCUAACUACGUGCCAGCAGCCGCGGUAAUACGUCGGGGGCAAGCGUUAUCCGGAUUUGCUGGGUGGAAAGGGAGCGUAGACGGCGAUGCAAGUCCGGAGUGAAAGCCUAGGGCUGAACCAUGGUACUGCUCUGGAAACUGUAGAGCUUGAGUGCGGGAGGGGCAGGCGGAAUUCCUAGUGUAGCGGUGAAAUGCGUAGAUAUUAGGAGGAACACUCGUGGCGAAGGCGGGUUCCUGGACAUUAACUGACGCUGAGGCACGAAGGCGAGGGGAGCGAAAGGGAUUAGAUACCCCAGUAGUC
rnacentral:rRNA from 1 species